rnacentral:rRNA from 1 species
GACAGAGGUGCCGAGCGUUAGGCGGAAUCACUGGGCUUAAAGCGUGUGUAGGCGGACUUCUAAGUACCUUGUGAAAUCCCACGGCUCAACCGUGGAACUGCUUGGUAUACUGGUUGUCUUGAGCCACUUAGGGGCUACCGGAACAAAUGGUGGAGCGGUGAAAUGCGUAGAUAUCAUUUGGAACGCCAAUGGUGAAAACAGGUAGCUGGGAGUGUGCUGACGCUGAGACACGAAAGCCAGGGGAGCGAACGGG